rnacentral:rRNA from 1 species
GAUGAACGCUGGCGGCGUGCCUAAUACAUACAAGUCGAGCGAAUGGAUUAAGAGCUUGCUCUUAUGAAGUUAGCGGCGGACGGGUGAGUAACACGUGGGUAACCUGCCCAUAAGACUGGGAUAACUCCGGGAAACCGGGGCUAAUACCGGAUAACAUUUUGAACCGCAUGGUCCGAAAUUGAAAGGCGGCUUCGGCUGUCACUUAUGGAUGGACCCGCGUCGCAUUAGCUAGUUGGUGAGGUAACGGCUCACCAAGGCAACGAUGCGUAGCCGACCUGAGAGGGUGAUCGGCCACCCUGGGACUGAGACACGGCCCAGACUCCUACGGGAGGCAGCAGUAGGGAAUCUUCCGCAAUGGACGAAAGUCUGACGGAGCAACGCCGCGUGAGUGAUGAAGGCUUUCGGGUCGUAAAACUCUGUUGUUAGGGAAGAACAAGUGCUAGUUGAAUAAGCUGGCACCUUGACGGUACCUAACCAGAAAGCCACGGCUAACUACGUGCCAGCCGCCGCCGUAA